UUGAAGAGUUUGAUCAUGGCUCAGAUUGAACGCUGGCGGCAGGCCUAACACAUGCAAGUCGAGCGGUAGCACAGAGAGCUUGCUCUCGGGUGACGAGCGGCGGACGGGUGAGUAAUGUCUGGGAAACUGCCUGAUGGAGGGGGAUAACUACUGGAAACGGUAGCUAAUACCGCAUAAUGUCGCAAGACCAAAGUGGGGGACCUUCGGGCCUCAUGCCAUCAGAUGUGCCCAGAUGGGAUUAGCUAGUAGGUGGGGUAACGGCUCACCUAGGCGACGAUCCCUAGCUGGUCUGAGAGGAUGACCAGCCACACUGGAACUGAGACACGGUCCAGACUCCUACGGGAGGCAGCAGUGGGGAAUAUUGCACAAUGGGCGCAAGCCUGAUGCAGCCAUGCCGCGUGUGUGAAGAAGGCCUUCGGGUUGUAAAGCACUUUCAGCGGGGAGGAAGGCGUUAAGGUUAAUAACCUUGGCGAUUGACGUUACCCGCAGAAGAAGCACCGGCUAACUCCGUGCCAGCAGCCGCGGUAAUACGGAGGGUGCAAGCGUUAAUCGGAAUUACUGGGCGUAAAGCGCACGCAGGCGGUCUGUCAAGUCGGAUGUGAAAUCCCCGGGCUCAACCUGGGAACUGCAUUCGAAACUGGCAGGCUAGAGUCUUGUAGAGGGGGGUAGAAUUCCAGGUGUAGCGGUGAAAUGCGUAGAGAUCUGGAGGAAUACCGGUGGCGAAGGCGGCCCCCUGGACAAAGACUGACGCUCAGGUGCGAAAGCGUGGGGAGCAAACAGGAUUAGAUACCCUGGUAGUCCACGCCGUAAACGAUGUCGAUUUGGAGGUUGUGCCCUUGAGGCGUGGCUUCCGGAGCUAACGCGUUAAAUCGACCGCCUGGGGAGUACGGCCGCAAGGUUAAAACUCAAAUGAAUUGACGGGGGCCCGCACAAGCGGUGGAGCAUGUGGUUUAAUUCGAUGCAACGCGAAGAACCUUACCUGGUCUUGACAUCCACAGAACUUUCCAGAGAUGGAUUGGUGCCUUCGGGAACUGUGAGACAGGUGCUGCAUGGCUGUCGUCAGCUCGUGUUGUGAAAUGUUGGGUUAAGUCCCGCAACGAGCGCAACCCUUAUCCUUUGUUGCCAGCGGUUAGGCCGGGAACUCAAAGGAGACUGCAAGUGAUAAACUGGAGGAAGGUGGGGAUGACGUCAAGUCAUCCCUACGACCGACGGGGCUACACGUGCUACAAUGGCAUAUACAAAGAGAACGCGAGCAAGCGGACCUCAUAAAGUAUGUCGUAGUCCGGAUUGAGUCUGCAACUCGACUCCAUGAAGUCGGAAUCGCUAGUAAUCGUAGAUCAGAAUGCUACGGUGAAUACGUUCCCGGGCCUUGUACACACCGCCCGUCACACCAUGGGAGUGGGUUGCAAAAGAAGUAGGUAGCUUAACCUUCGGGAGGGCGCUUACCACUUUGUGAUUCAUGACUGGGGUGAAGUCGUAACAAGGUAACCGUAGGGGAACCUGCGGUUGGAUCACCUCCUU
rnacentral:rRNA from 1 species